GAUGAAGCACGUAGCGAAAUGCGAUAAGUAAUGUGAAUUGCAGAAUUCAGUGAAUCAUCGAAUCUUUGAACGCACCUUGCACCCUUUGGCUAUUCCGAAGGGUAUGCCUGUUUGAGUAUCAUGAACACCUCAACUCUCAUGGUUUGCCAUGAUGAGCUUGGACUUUGGGGGUCUUGCUGGCCUGUGGUCAGCUCCUCUCAAAUGGAUUAGCUUGCCAGUGUUUGGUGGCAUCACAGGUGUGAUAACUAUCUACGCUUGUGGUUUUCCACCAGGUAACCUUCAGCAAUGGGGGUUCGCUGGGGCUCAUAAAUGUCUCUCCUCAGUGAGGACAGCUCUUUGAACGUUUGAUCUCAAAUCAGGUAGGACUACCCGCUGAACUUAAGCAUAUCAAUAAGCGGAGGA
rnacentral:misc_RNA from 1 species